CGGAAAUGUCAUUUCCUGCAUUCUGAGCAUCCAAAUUUGCUCUAAAAUUUAUGCUAACUAUACUUGUAUUUGAAAUAAAAGAAGGAAAAAAUGCACAAAAAGUAAAAAAAGAAUAUUAACCGUAAUUUAUCAUUACUUAUUAGAGGGAUAAUCCCCAGAAAAUUUUUGAAACUUGAGACCCGGAAAUGCUAUUUCCUGCAUUUUGAGCAUCC